ensembl:snRNA U6 U6 spliceosomal RNA
GUGCUACAUUCAUACAGUGUAGUAGUAUUCUCAGUAAAAUAGCACAUAUACUAAAAUCAGAAGCAGACAGAGAUUAGAUGGCCCCUGCACAAUUGUGACACACAAAUUCGCAAAGCAUUCCAUAUUUUU